GAGCGCUAACACAACAGCCUGUGUAAUUACAUGUUUCUAGGAAGUGUGUUAGCUCCACGGGGAGCUGAGUCCAUUUGGAGAGGAGGAGGGGGAGGAAGAGACUUUCUUUUUUUGGGGGGUGGGUAAGGUGAAAAGGGUCGGCGCGUAGCCCGGCUCUCGCUCGAAUAUGAUAAAGGUAAUUGUGGUUCUCCAGUGAACGCCGGGCGCUCCCCGGUCCUGGCUCCUCUCCCUCCUUGCUCAUGUCUAUGCUAUGCAGGCGUCUGCUGUCAAAGCCGGGUGAAGCAGGGCUUUGCAAGAAGAGAGAAGAGGUUUGACCCUGUUGGAAGCGGUACGUUGCGAUAUCUGACGUUGUUUCUGCGCUAGCAUCGCCCGGGCAGGGGUGGAAGAUGCAGAGUCAGGGGCACGGCAGUUUUGUGCAGCCUAGGCAUUUAUUUAGGUGGAGGAAGGAGAGUGGCAAUAAUUAAAAGCAAUUAAUUAUAGUCCGCAUGCUGGGGCAGGGGGAGGAUGGCUCAGACCUAACCUGUCAUUUAGCUCUGGGCUCUGUGGAUGCUUUGCUGUGACGGAGGGCCGAGGGCUGACCGAGUCGUGGGGAGGAUUUGUAUGUAGGAAGAGAGGAGAUGGCUGUGCAGCGUGCUCCCGAAUCUGCUCUGAGCCUGCUGAUGUGUGCCAUUAUAGUGUUCAAUGUCAGCUUCAUCUUCACUGGUAGUUCUUGUAACUGCUGCAAGGAAUCGAUCAG
rnacentral:lncRNA from 1 species